rnacentral:rRNA from 1 species
CAGUAAGGGAUAUUGCACAAUGGACGGAAGUCUGAUGCAGCGACGCCGCGUGGAUGAAGAAGGUUUUCGGAUCGUAAAGUCCUUUUCUAUGUGACGAGGUAGGACGGUAGCAUAGGAAUAAGUGUCGGCUAACUACGUGCCAGCAGCCGCGGUAAAACGUAGGACGCGAACGUUAUCCGGAGUUACUGGGCGUAAAGCGCGCGCAGGCGGUUGUAUAAGUCUUAUAUGAAAGUUAUCGGCUAAACUGAUAGAGCGUAUGAGAGACUGUACAACUAGAGAGAAAUAGAGGGAAGU